rnacentral:rRNA from 1 species
AGUGGCGGACGGGUGAGUAACACGUAAGAAUUUGCCUUUAGGAGGGGGAUAACAACUGGAAACGGUUGCUAAUACCCCAUAUGCUUUCGAGUGAAACGGUUUUUCCGCCUAAAGAGAAGCUUGCGGCUGAUUAGCUUGUUGGUGAGGUAAUGGCUCACCAAGGCGACGAUCAGUAUCUGGUUUGAGAGGACGAUCAGACACACUGGAACUGAGACACGGUCCAGACUCCUACGGGAGGCAGCAGUGGGGAAUUUUCCGCAAUGGGCGAAAGCCUGACGGAGCAAUACCGCGUGAGGGAUGAAUGCCUAUGGGUUGUAAACCUCUUUUUUCAGGGAGGAAUAAAAUGACGUGUACCUGAAGAAUAAGCAUCGGCUAACUCCGUGCCAGCAGCCGCGGUAAGACGGGGGAUGCAAGUGUUAUCCGGAAUCACUGGGCGUAAAGCGUCUGUAGGUGGUUUAAUAAGUCAACUGUUAAAUCUUGAGGCUCAACCUCAAAAUCGCAGUCGAAACUGUUUGACUAGAGUAUAGUAGGGGUAAAGGGAAUUUCCAGUGGAGCGGUGAAAUGCGUAGAGAUUGGAAAGAACACCAAUGGCGAAGGCACUUUACUGGGCUAUUACUAACACUGAGAGACGAAAGCUAGGGUAGCAAAUGGGAUUAGAUACCCCAGUAGUCCUAGCUGUAAACAAUGGAUACUAGAUGUU